UACUUGGUUAUCCUGCCAAGGAAGCACACUUAGGUCAUAGAUUAAGCCAUGCAAGUGUUAGUUCAGGAACGAAACUGCGAAUAGCUCAUUAAUACGCUCAGAAUCUAUUGGCGGCGACCAACAUCUUAAAUGGAUAGCAGCAGCAACUCUGGUGCUAAACAUGAUUGUUUCUCCAGAUGUGAAUUAUGGAGGAAAAGUUGACCUCAUCAGAGGCACGCCAUCGACUGAGUGACCUAUCAGCUUUACUUAGGGUCUUUACCUAGUAGGCUACACGGGUAACGGGCGGUUACCGUCGACUGCCGGAGAAGCGCCUGAGAUAGCGACUAUAUCCACGGUAGCAGCAGGCGCGAAACUUUCCCACUCGAGACUUCGGAGAGGUAAUGACCAGUUCCAUUGUGCCUUUGGUACUGUGUAGGGACGUUCCACCGUACCGAAACCUAGCAGAGGCCAGUCUGGUGCCAGCAGCUGCGGUAAUUCCAGCUCUGCGAGUUUGCUCCCAUAUUGUUGCAGUUAAAACCCCGUAGUCUGAAUGCCAGCAAUGUCGUACGUAUUUUUACGUUCACUGUGAACAAAUCAGACGCUUAGAGUAUGCCACAUGAAUGACUCAGCGCAGUAUGAAUCUUUGUUUUCUCCGAAAACAACUCAAUGAGAGCCAUCGGGUAGAUCUAUCUCAUGACGAGUGGUGAAUACUUGACUCAUGAGAGAAAGCUGAGCGAAGCGUCUACCUAGAGGUUUCUGUCGAUCAAGGCGAGAGUAGAGUAUCCAACAGAUUAGAACCCUGGUAGUUCCUACCUUAAACGAUCCGACAGGAGUUUGUCAUUGUUAAUGCAGAAUCUUGGAGAAAUCAGUUCUUGGGCUCUGGAACUACGACCGCAAGCUGAAACUGAAGGAAUUGACGGAAGGCACACCAGGGUGGAGCCUGUGGCUUAAUUUGAAUCAACACGGGGAAACUUACCAGGACCAGAUGUUUUUUAUGACUGACAGGCUUCGGUCUUCAGGAUAUUGUUUUUGGUGGUGCAUGCCGUUGUGGUGCGUGGUGACCUGCUAGCGUUGAUUCAGCUAACGAGCGAGAUUAUCGCCAAUUAUUACUUUGCCGAAGUCCUUCGUUAAAGUUCUAAUUGGACUCCCUGCGAUUUAGCAGGUGAAGAGGUAGCAAUAACAGUCCGUGAUGCCCUUUAGAUGCUCUGGGCUGCACGCGUGCUACAAUGUUAGAUCAAAGGACUGCGAGCCUGAGAGGGUGCGCUACUCUUAUAAUCCCUAACGUAGUUGGAUUGACGUUUGUAAUCAGCGUCAUGAACCAGGAAUCCUUGUAAUGUGUGUCAACAACGCACGUUGAAUACGUCCUGCCCUUUGUACACACCGCCCGUCGCUCCUACCGAUUGGAUGACUCGGUGAAAUCACCGAUGCUUACGAGCAGAAAGUGAUUAAAUCACUUAUCUAGAGGAAGGAGAAGUCGUAACAAGUAACGUAGUAACCUGCCGUUGGAUC
rnacentral:rRNA from 1 species